GGCUAGAUAGCUUAGUUGGUUAGAAUGUGGUGCUAAUAACACCAAGGUCAAGGGUUCAAAUCCCCUUGCUGGCCA